GUGCUCAUUUUGACACCACAUACUCUGAAGUUGGAAAGAUACAGAGAAGGUUAGCAUGACCCCUGGGCAAGGAUGACACAAACUCAUGAAGAAGUCCAUUAAAAAAAU
ensembl:snRNA U6 U6 spliceosomal RNA